UACGUAGGGUGCAAGCGUUAAUCGGAAUUACUGGGCGUAAAGCGUGCGCAGGCGGUUUUGUAAGUCUGUCGUGAAAUCCCCGGGCUCAACCUGGGAAUUGCGAUGGAGACUGCAAGGCUAGAAUCUGGCAGAGGGGGGGUAGAAUUCCACGUGUAGCAGUGAAAUGCGUAGAGAUGUGGAGGAACACCGAUGGCGAAGGCAGCCCCCUGGGUCAAGAUUGACGCUCAUGCACGAAGGCGUGGGGAGCAAACAGG
rnacentral:rRNA from 1 species